rnacentral:rRNA from 1 species
UACGGAGGAUGCGAGCGUUAUCCGGAUUUAUUGGGUUUAAAGGGUGCGUAGGCGGAUAGAUAAGUCAGUGGUGAAAACCUGCAGCUUAACUGUAGACUUGCCAUUGAUACUGUCAGUCUUGAGUAUGGUCAAGGUAGGCGGAAUGUGUAAUGUAGCGGUGAAAUGCUUAGAUAUUACACAGAACACCGAUUGCGAAGGCAGCUUACUGGGCCAUUACUGACGCUGAUGCACGAAAGCGUGGGGAUCGAACAGG